rnacentral:rRNA from 1 species
GGUAACGGCGGGCGAGGCGGCGGGGUAAGACGGAGGGUGAGAGCGUGAAUCGGGAUUACUGGGCGUAAAGGGUGCGCAGGCGGCUCCGCAUGUCGGGCGUGAAAUCCCCGGGCUUAACCUGGGAAUUGCGUCCGAAACUAUGGAGCUGGAGUGUGGCAGAGGGAGGUGGAAUUCCACGUGUAGCGGUGAAAUGCGUAGAGAUGUGGAGGAACACCGAUGGCGAAGGCAGCCUCCUGGGCCAACACUGACGCUCAUGCACGAAAGCGUGGGGAGCAAACAGGAUUAGAUACCCGAGUAGUC